GACGAACGCUGGCGGCGUGCUUAACACAUGCAAGUCGUACGGUAAGGCCCUUUCGGGGGUACACGAGUGGCGAACGGGUGAGUAACACGUGAGUAACCUGCCCACAACUUUGGGAUAACGCUAGGAAACUGGUGCUAAUACUGGAUAUGUGCUCCUGCUGCAUGGUGGGGGUUGGAAAGCUCCGGCGGUUGUGGAUGGACUCGCGGCCUAUCAGCUUGUUGGUGGGGUAGUGGCCUACCAAGGCGGCGACGGGUAGCCGGCCUGAGAGGGUGACCGGCCACAUUGGGACUGAGAUACGGCCCAGACUCCUACGGGAGGCAGCAGUGGGGAAGAUUGCACAAUGGGCGCAAGCCUGAUGCAGCAACGCCGCGUGCGGGAUGACGGCCUUCGGGUUGUAAACCGCUUUCAGCAGGGACGAAGCUUUUUGUGACGGUACCUGCAGAAGAAGCACGGGCUAACUACGUG
rnacentral:rRNA from 1 species